UACGUAGGUGGCAAGCGUUGUCCGGAUUUACUGGGUGUAAAGGGCGUGUAGGCGGGCUGUCAAGUCAGAUGUGAAAUCUAUGGGCUUAACCCAUAACGUGCAUUUGAAACUGAUAGUCUUGAGUGAUGGAGAGGCAGGCGGAAUUCCUAGUGUAGCGGUGAAAUGCGUAGAUAUUAGGAGGAACACCAGUGGCGAAGGCGGCCUGCUGGACAUUAACUGACGCUGAGGCGCGAAAGCGUGGGGAGCAAACAGGAUUAGAUA
rnacentral:rRNA from 1 species